GGCGCCAAUAGCUUAGUUGGUUAAAGCGCCUGUAUAGUAAACAGGAGAUCUGAGUUCGAAUCUCAGUGGUGCCU
rnacentral:tRNA from 1 species